AGGUGUGGGUUUCCUUCCACGGGAUCCGUGCCGUAGCUAACGCAUUAAGCGCCCCGCCUGGGGAGUACGGCCGCAAGGCUAAAACUCAAAGGAAUUGACGGGGGCCCGCACAAGCGGCGGAGCAUGUGGAUUAAUUCGAUGCAACGCGAAGAACCUUACCUGGGCUUGACAUGCACUGGAUGCGGUCAGAGAUGGUUGUUCCCUUUGUGGCUGGUGUUCACGUGGGGCAUGGUUGUCGUCAGCUCGUGUCGUGAGAUGUGGGGUUAAAUCCCGCAACGAGAGCAACCCUUUUCUCGUGUUGCCAGCAUUUGUUUGGGGGCUCGCGGGAGACAGACCGGGGUAAUUCGGAGGAAGGAGGGGAUGACGUCAAACCAUCAUGCCCCUUAUGUCCAGGGCUUCACACAUGCUACAAAGGAUGGUACAGACAGAUACGAUACCGUGAGGGGGGGUUAAUCACUUAAAGACAGCCUCAGUUCGGAUUGAAGUCGGCCACUCGACUCCAUGAAGACGGAGUCGCUAGUACUCGCAGAUCAGCAAUGCUGCGGUGAAU
rnacentral:rRNA from 1 species